AGGGGGAGCGCUGGAUCUUGGGCUGUGUCCUCCAGCGCCCUGGGCUCUGGGGCCUGCGUUGUUGGAAUCGCGUUCCCGGGGCCAUGCAGCCCCCU
rnacentral:pre_miRNA from 1 species